GAUGAACGCUGGCGGCGUGCCUAAUACAUGCAAGUCGAGCGAACAGACGAGGAGCUUGCUCCUCUGACGUUAGCGGCGGACGGGUGAGUAACACGUGGAUAACCUACCUAUAAGACUGGGAUAACUUCGGGAAACCGGAGCUAAUACCGGAUAAUAUAUUGAACCGCAUGGUUCAAUAGUGAAAGACGGUUUUGCUGUCACUUAUAGAUGGAUCCGCGCCGCAUUAGCUAGUUGGUAAGGUAACGGCUUACCAAGGCGACGAUGCGUAGCCGACCUGAGAGGGUGAUCGGCCACACUGGAACUGAGACACGGUCCAGACUCCUACGGGAGGCAGCAGUAGGGAAUCUUCCGCAAUGGGCGAAAGCUUGACGGAGCAACGCCGCGUGAGUGAUGAAGGUCUUCGGAUCGUAAAACUCUGUUGUUAGGGAAGAACAAAUGUGUAAGUAACUAUGCACGUCUUGACGGUACCUAAUCAGAAAGCCACGGCUAACUACGUG
rnacentral:rRNA from 1 species